ACGCCAGUCUGCAUGGAGCCGACCUUGAAAUACCACCCUUUAAUGUUUGAUGUUCUAACGUGGACCCGUGAUCCGGGUUGCGGACAGUGUCUGGUGGGUAGUUUGACUGGGGCGGUCUCCUCCUAAAGAGUAACGGAGGAGCACGAAGGUUGGCUAAUCCUGGUCGGACAUCAGGAGGUUAGUGCAAUGGCAUAAGCCAGCUUGACUGCGAGCGUGACGGCGCGAGCAGGUGCGAAAGCAGGUCAUAGUGAUCCGGUGGUUCUGAAUGGAAGGGCCAUCGCUCAACGGAUAAAAGGUACUCCGGGGAUAACAGGCUGAUACCGCCCAAGAGUUCAUAUCGACGGCGGUGUUUGGCACCUCGAUGUCGGCUCAUCACAUCCUGGGGCUGAAGUAGGUCCCAAGGGUAUGGCUGUUCGCCAUUUAAAGUGGUACGCGAGCUGGGUUUAGAACGUCGUGAGACAGUUCGGUCCCUAUCUGCCGUGGGCGCUGGAGAACUGAGGGGGGCUGCUCCUAGUACGAGAGGACCGGAGUGGACGCAUCACUGGUGUUCGGGUUGUCAUGCCAAUGGCACUGCCCGGUAGCUAAAUGCGGAAGAGAUAAGUGCUGAAAGCAUCUAAGCACGAAACUUGCCCCGA
rnacentral:rRNA from 1 species